GCUCUAGUAGACACCGGUGCACAGUGUACCCUAAUGCCAUCAAGUUAUAAAGGGGCAGAACCCAUCUGUAUUUCUGGUGUGGCAGGGGGAUCCCAACAGCUAACUACAGGAAAUGUAUUGCA